GGGAAAGUUGAGACAGGUGGUGCAGUGGUUGUCGUCAGCUCGUGUCGUGAGAUUGUUGGGUUAAGUCCCGCAACGAGCGCAACCCUUGUGAUUAGUUGCUACGCAAGAGCACUCUAAUCAGACUGCCGUUGACAAAAACGGAGAAGGUGGGGACGACGUCAAAUCAUCAUGCCCUUUAUGACCUGGGCUACACACGUACUACAAUGAUCGUUAACAGAGGGACGCAAGACCGCGAGGUGGAGCAAACCCUAAAAACGGUCUCAGUUCGGAUCGCAGGCUGCAACCCGCCUGCGUGAAGUUGGAAUUGCUAGUAAUCGCGGAUCAGAAUGCCGCGGUGAAUACGUUCCCGGGCCUUGUACACACCGCCCGUCACACCAUGGGAGCCGGUAAUACCCGAAGUCAGUAGUCUAACCGCAAGGAGGACGCUGCCGAAGGUAGGAUUGGCGACUGGGGUGAAGUCGUAACAAGGUAGCCGUAUCGGAAGGUGCGGCUGGAUCACCUCCUUUCUG
rnacentral:rRNA from 1 species